GAGUUUGAUCUUGGCUCAGAUUGAACGCUGGCGGAAUGCUUUACACAUGCAAGUCGAGCGGCAGCGCGGGCAACCUGGCGGCGAGCGGCGAACGGGUGAGUAAUGCAUCGGAACAUGUCCAUGUCGUGGGGGAUAGCCCGGCGAAAAGCCGGAUUAAUACCGCAUAUGCCCGAGAGGGGAAAGUGGGGGACCGCAAGGCCUCACGCGAUUGGGUUGGCCGAUGUCCGAUUAGCUAGUUGGCGGGGUAAGAGCCCACCAAGGCGAUGAUCGGUAGCUGGUCUGAGAGGAUGAUCAGCCACACUGGGACUGAGACACGGCCCAGACUCCUACGGGAGGCAGCAGUGGGGAAUUUUGGACAAUGGGGGAAACCCUGAUCCAGCCAUUCCGCGUG
rnacentral:rRNA from 1 species